GCUUGUCUCAAAGAUUAAGCCAUGCAUGUCUAAGUAUAAAUUAGUUUAUAUUUGAAACUGCGAAUGGCUCAUUAUAUCAGUUAUAGUUUAUUUGAUGGUCCUUGCUACUUGGAUAACCGUAGUAAUUCUAGAGCUAAUACAUGCAUAAAUCCCCGACUGCUUGGAAGGGGUGUAUUUAUUAGAUGGAAACCAAUUCGGGGCAACCCGGCUCAUGGUGAUUCAUAAUAACUUUCGGAUCGACCUUUCGGUCGAUGCAUCAUUCAAGUUUCUGCCCUAUCAGUUUUGGAUGGUAGGGUAUUGGCCUACCAUGACUUUAACGGGUAACGGAGAAUUAGGGUUCGAUUCCGGAGAGGGAGCCUGAGAAAUGGCUACCACAUCCAAGGAAGGCAGCAGG
rnacentral:rRNA from 1 species